rnacentral:rRNA from 1 species
UACGGAGGGGGCUAGCGUUGUUCGGAAUUACUGGGCGUAAAGCGUGCGCAGGCGGUUUGCUAAGACCGAUGUGAAAUCCCCGGGCUUAACCUGGGAACUGCAUUGGUGACUGGCAAGCUAGAGUGUGGCAGAGGGGGGUAGAAUUCCACGUGUAGCAGUGAAAUGCGUAGAGAUGUGGAGGAAUACCGAUGGCGAAGGCAGCCCCCUGGGCCAACACUGACGCUCAUGCACGAAAGCGUGGGGAGCAAACAGG